GGGGUUGUGGCUCAGCGGUAGAGCACCCACCUAGCACGUAUGGGGCCCUGGGUUUGAUCCUCAGCACCACA
rnacentral:tRNA from 1 species